rnacentral:rRNA from 2 species
GGAGGNAGCNGUNGGGAAUCUUCANNNNGACGAAGUNUGAUGAGCANGCCGCNUGNNUGAGAGGGUUUCGGCUCGUAAACUCUGUUGUUAAGAGACAUAUCUGAGAGNACUNUCAGGUAUGACGGUAUUUAACCAGAAAGCCACGGCUAACUACGUGCCAGCAGCCGCGGUAAUACGUAGGUGGCAAGCGUUGUCCGGAUUUAUUGGGCGUAAAGCGAGCGCAGGCGGUUUUUUAAGUCUGAUGUGAAAGCNUUCGGCUCAACCGAAGAAGUGCAUCGGAAACUGGGAAACUUGAGUGCAGAAGAGGACAGUGGAACUCCAUGUGUAGCGGUGAAAUGCGUAGAUAUAUGGAAGAACACCAGUGGCGAAGGCGGCUGUCUGGUCUGUAACUGACGCUGAGGCUCGAAAGUAUGGGUAGCAAACAGGAUUAGAUACCCUGGUAGUCCAUACCGUAAACGAUGAAUGCUAAGUGUUGGAGGGUUUCCGCCCUUCAGUGCUGCAGCUAACGCAUUAAGCAUUCCGCCUGGGGAGUACGGCCGCAAGGCUGAAACUCAAAGGAAUUGACGGGGGCCCGCACAAGCGGUGGAGCAUGUGGUUUAAUUCGAAGCUACGCGAAGAACCUUACCAGGUCUUGACAUACUAUGCAAAUCUAAGAGAUUAGACGUUCCCUUCGGGGACAUGGAUACAGGUGGUGCAUGGUUGUCGUCAGCUCGUGUCGUGAGAUGUUGGGUUAAGUCCCGCAACGAGCGCAACCCUUAUUAUCAGUUGCCAGCAUUAAGUUGGGCACUCUGGUGAGACUGCCGGUGACAAACCGGAGGAAGGUGGGGAUGACGUCAAAUCAUCAUGCCCCUUAUGACCUGGGCUACACACGUGCUACAAUGGAUGGUACAACGAGUUGCGAACUCGCGAGAGUAAGCUAAUCUCUUAAAGCCAUUCUCAGUUCGGAUUGUAGGCUGCAACUCGCCUACAUGAAGUCGGAAUCGCUAGUAAUCGCGGAUCAGCAUGCCGCGGUGAAUACGUUCCCGGGCCUUGUACACACCGCCCGUCACACCAUGAGAGUUUGUAACACCCAAAGUCGGUGGGGUAACCUUUUAGGAACCAGCCGCCUAAGG